AAAAAAGGUAAGCUACUAAGAGCGAAUGGUGGAUGCCUUGACUGGUAAAGGCGAUGAAGGACGUACUAGACUGCGAUAAGCUACGGGGAGCUGUCAAGAAGCUUUGAUCCGUAGAUUUCCGAAUGGGGCAACCCAAUGUAUAGAGAUAUACAUUACCUAUAUAGGAGCGAACGAGGGGAAUUGAAACAUCUUAGUACCCUCAGGAAAAGAAAUCAAUAGAGAUUGCGUCAGUAGCGGCGAGCGAAAGCGCAAGAGGGCAAACCCAGUGCUUGCACUGGGGGUUGUAGGACUGCAAUGUGCAAGAGGUAAGUUUAGCAGAACAUUCUGGAAAGUAUAACCAUAGAGGGUGAUAGUCCCGUAUGCGAAAAACAAACCUUAGCUAGCAGUAUCCUGAGUAGGGCGGGACACGAGGAAUCCUGUCUGAAUCCGGGUCGACCACGAUCCAACCCUAAAUACUAAUACCAGAUCGAUAGUGCACAAGUACCGUGAGGGAAAGGUGAAAAGAACUGAGGUGAUCAGAGUGAAAUAGAACCUGAAACCAUUUGCUUACAAUCAUUCAGAGCCCUAUGUAGCAAUACAGGGUGAUGGACUGCCUUUUGCAUAAUGAGCCUGCGAGUUGUGGUGUCUGGCAAGGUUAAGCAAACGCGAAGCCGUAGCGAAAGCGAGUCUGAAUAGGGCGCUUAGUCAGAUGCUGCAGACCCGAAACGAAGUGAUCUAUCCAUGAGCAAGUUGAAGCUAGUGUAAGAACUAGUGGAGGACUGAACCCAUAGGCGUUGAAAAGCCCCGGGAUGACUUGUGGAUAGGGGUGAAAGGCCAAUCAAACUUCGUGAUAGCUGGUUCUCUCCGAAAUAUAUUUAGGUAUAGCGUUGUGUCGUAAUAUAAGGGGGUAGAGCACUGAAUGGGCUAGGGCAUACACCAAUGUACCAAACCCUAUCAAACUCCGAAUACCUUAUAUGUAAUCACAGCAGUCAGGCGGCGAGUGAUAAAAUCCGUCGUCAAGAGGGAAACAACCCAGACUACCAGCUAAGGUCCCUAAAUCUUACUUAAGUGGAAAACGAUGUGAAGUUACUUAAACAACCAGGAGGUUGGCUUAGAAGCAGCCAUCCUUUAAAGAAAGCGUAAUAGCUCACUGGUCUAGUGAUUUUGCGCGGAAAAUAUAACGGGGCUAAAGUAAGUACCGAAGCUGUAGAUUUGCACACAACUUAGAUUAUUUAAAUUUAAAAUAUGAGAAGCUAAAUUUAUUUUUAUUUAUUUUUGCUUAUCUUUAUUCAUUUUUAUAGAGUAAAGAUAAAAACAAAAACUUCGUAAAAACAAUAAAAUAUAGUAAAAAACAAUAAAAAUAUUCUUAGACUAAAGUUAAGUAGUUUAAGUUGUGUGCAAGUGGUAGGAGAGCGUUCUAUUUGCGUCGAAGGUAUACCGGUAAGGAGUGCUGGAGCGAAUAGAAGUGAGCAUGCAGGCAUGAGUAGCGAUAAUUAAUGUGAGAAUCAUUAACGCCGUAAACCCAAGGUUUCCUACGCGAUGCUCGUCAUCGUAGGGUUAGUCGGGUCCUAAGUCGAGUCCGAAAGGGGUAGACGAUGGCAAAUUGGUUAAUAUUCCAAUACCAACAUUAGUGUGCGAUGGAAGGACGCUUAGGGCUAAGGGGGCUAGCGGAUGGAAGUGCUAGUCUAAGGUCGUAGGAGGUUAUACAGGCAAAUCCGUAUAACAAUACUCCGAGAACUGAAAGGCUUUUUGAAGUCUUCGGAUGGAUAGAAGAACCCCUGAUGCCGUCGAGCCAAGAAAAGUUUCUAAGUUUAGCUAAUGUUGCCCGUACCGUAAACCGACACAGGUGGGUGGGAUGAGUAUUCUAAGGCGCGUGGAAGAACUCUCUUUAAGGAACUCUGCAAAAUAGCACCGUA
rnacentral:rRNA from 1 species